rnacentral:rRNA from 1 species
GCCCUUCGGGGUACUCGAGCGGCGAACGGGUGAGUAACACGUGAGCAACCUGCCCUAGGCUUUGGGAUAACCCUCGGAAACGGGGGCUAAUACCGAAUAUGACCUCGCAUCGCAUGGUGUGUGGUGGAAAGUUUUUCGGCCUGGGAUGGGCUCGCGGCCUAUCAGCUUGUUGGUGGGGUGAUGGCCUACCAAGGCGACGACGGGUAGCCGGCCUGAGAGGGCGACCGGCCACACUGGGACUGAGACACGGCCCAGACUCCUACGGGAGGCAGCAGUGGGGAAUAUUGCACAAUGGGCGGAAGCCUGAUGCAGCGACGCCGCGUGAGGGAUGACGGCCUUCGGGUUGUAAACCUCUUUCAGCAGGGACGAAGCGUAAGUGACGGUACCUGCAGAAGAAGCGCCGGCCAACUACGUGCCAG